rnacentral:rRNA from 2 species
UCAGGUAGGAAUACCCGCUGAACUUAAGCAUAUCAAUAAG